AACGAACGCUGGCGGCAGGCCUAACACAUGCAAGUCGAGCGCGCCCUUCGGGGUGAGCGGCGGACGGGUGAGUAACGCGUGGGAACGUGCCCUUCUCUGCGGAAUAGCCUCGGGAAACUGAGAGUAAUACCGCAUACGCCCUUUGGGGGAAAGAUUUAUCGGAGAAGGAUCGGCCCGCGUUGGAUUAGGUAGUUGGUGGGGUAAUGGCCCACCAAGCCGACGAUCCAUAGCUGGUUUGAGAGGAUGAUCAGCCACACUGGGACUGAGACACGGCCCAGACUCCUACGGGAGGCAGCAGUGGGGAAUCUUAGACAAUGGGGGCAAUCCUGAUCGAGCCAUGCCGCGUGAGUGAUGAAGGCCUUAGGGUUGUAAAGCUCUUUCAGCUGGGAAGAUAAUGACGGUACCAGCAGAAGAAGCCCCGGCUAACUCCGUG
rnacentral:rRNA from 1 species